ensembl:lncRNA
GGAAGACCAAUAAUUCUACCAAAAGUAUGAGAAUUGUGUGAAACAAGCAACUCUGAAAGUUUAUUGUCAUAGAGUUUUUAGUUACAUUUUUUCAUUUUCUGAUUUCUAAAGCAAUAAUUUCUCUUGAUCUUUUCUUAAUUUUACUUCAUUUAUUAAUCAUCUGCCUGCGAUAUUGAGCGCCUCCUUUUUCCAUACCCACGUCUAGCCAUAGCUCCCUUGGCAUGCUCCAGAACUGUCGGGGGGGCGACUUCCUUUCACUCCUCCCGAUUUGCUCCAGCUUCUUGAUCUUGAGCAGUUCCCUUUCUUGCUUUUCAUCUUUUAUUUUCCUGAAAUAGAUCCCAUAGAUGUUUCAUAAAAAAUGUGAACAAAAAUAACCUUUCUGUGUUCUUGCAUGUCUGAAAAUGUUUUCUUCUGUUCUAACACACAGUUUGAAGUUUGGCUGAGUACAAAAUUUCUCAAGUGAACAUUAUUUUCCCGCAUCCCUUUCAAGGCAACCACUGUUGUUGUAUUCAGAAUUACUAAGAGGAAAUCUGGGGAGAGUGCGAUUACAGGUCCUUUGCCCUUUCCUCUACAACCACUGAUGAAUGAGAAAUCUUGGAAAAGAAGCAAACUGGAAGUCAGGAGGGACAUGUCAAGGGAGUUGUGUAUUCCAUUUUUAAAAAUAAAGAAUCUACAAUUCAAAGAUUGUGCCAAAUCAGAGAAGAAAAGGAAAAUUGAGUCUUUAGGGAUUUCUGCAUAUAAGUCUAUGUCAUUUGCAAGCAGAUAUCAUUUUACGUCUUCCUUCUAUACUUGGAUGCCUUUUAUUUCUUUUUGUUGCUUCAUCGCUCUGACUAGACUUCCAGUACUAUAUUGAAUAGAAGUGGUGAGAGUGGGCAUCCUUGCCUUGUUCCCAAUUUAGAGGUAAAGCUUUUAGUUUUUUACUAUUGAAUAUGAUGUUAGCUGUGGGCUUGUCAUGUAUAGCCUUUAUUAUACUGAAGUAAUGUCCUUCUAUUACUAGUUUGUUGAGAGUUUUUCUCAGCCACUUUGGAAAAGAGUUUGGCAGUUUCUUACCAAGCUAAACAUAAUCUGAUCCAGCAGUCAUGCUCCUGGGUAUUUACACAAAUGAGCUGAAAACUUAUGUCUGCACAAAAGUGGGCACAUGAAUGUUUAUAGAAGCUUUAUUCACAAUUGCCAAAACUUGGUUGAAAGACAACAAAGAUAUCCUUCAAUAGGUGAAUGGAUAAACACACCGUGGUACAUACCUACAAUGGAAUAUUAUUCAUUGAUUAAAAAGAAAUGGUUUCCAUCUGUCACCAUAUAUAUGUGCCCCUUUAGCCCUCUCCCCAUCCCCUUUCCCUUUGGUAACUACCAAUCUCCUUAUCUAUGUGUUUUUCUGUUCAUUUAUCUUCCACAUAGAAUGAAAUCAUAUGAGUAUUUGUCUUUCUCUGUCUGACUUAUUUUGCUUAGCAUAAUACCCUAAAGGUCCAUCCAUGUUUCUGCAAAUGGCACAGUUUUGUUUUUUUUUGUGGCUGAGUGGUGAACACAAUGCAGUCUACACAGAAGCCAAAAUAUAAUAAUGCGCACUUGAAAUUUACACAGUGUUAUAAACCAGUGUGACCUCAGUGAAAUAAUAAAAAGUGGUUGAAUUUUUAAAAUUAAUAAUAAAUAUGUAAAUCUUGUAAAAAAUUCUUUGAGAGCAAAAAUCUAGUUGACAUGAAGAAAAUUAAAAUAAACUAGAAAUCAACAAAAAAAAAAAAAGAAAGAAAGAAAGGAAAUGGGCUAUCAAGCCAGGGAAAAAUAGGGAGGAACCUUAAAUGCGUAUUACUAAGUGAAACAAGCCAAUGUGAAAUGGGUACAUACUAUAUGAUUCCAACAAGAUAACAUUAUGGAAAAGGCAAAACUAUACAGACAGGAAAAAAACAAUGGUUUCUAGAGCUCCAGAGUGGAGGAAGGGUUGGAGGAGGCAGGAAUAGGUGGAGCACAGGGGAUGUUUAGAGCAGUGGAACUAUAAAAUAGUAAUAUGAUGAUGUUAUAGUGGCUACAUGACAUUACGCAUGGGCCAAAAUCUUUGGAACUGUGCAAUACAAAGAAUGGACCCUAAUGUAAACUAUAGUCUUUAGAUAGCAAUAACGUAUCAAUAUUAGUUCAUCAAUUGUAACAAACAUACACAGGAAUGAAAGACAUUAAUAAUAGGGAAAUUGUUUGGGAAGGUGAGGUGGAAGGUUGGGAGUGGGGAGAGGGGAUUUAUGGGAAGUCUCUGUACUUUUUACUAAUUUUUUUGAAACCUAAGCCUUCUCUAAAAGAAAAUCUAUUAGUACAAAAUAAAAGGCCAUUUAUAAUAUUUAAAAGUAAGUAGGCAUUUAUUAUAUUAUUCAUAUUGCUUAAGAAACUUUCCAAAACUCUAUACCUAGAAACAGGGCUGCUCAUAAAUUUCUUCACAGUUUUCCCCAUUUUGCAUUAAGUGGGAUCAUUAAAAUAGGAAGAGACCAGCAUAGACCAGCCAUGUCUCACCUAAAGCUAUUAUCUUUUGUGCCAUUUGUCAUAAUAAUGACAGAAGAAAAUGAAUAACAUCCAAAACAUCAUCAAUAAGCAUCAUGACCAAAAGAGAUUCUGUAUCCUGAGAUCUAAAAGUGACUCAAACGCCUUAGUGAGACUGUUUCGUAAUGCAACGCAAAUAAUUAUUUGCAAUUCAGGAAGACUUGAGCUGAAUUCUGCCUUUGUUAAAACUACAGCUACCUUGGUGAAAUCUUUUAUUUUCCAGAGGUUACUGUCUUCAUCUGUGUAAAGAGUGGCUUAUAUUAUCUCUGGGGUCCCAUUCACCUUUACUUUCUAUUGUUGUCUGAUCACACAGUUGUAUUUGUUGAUGAGGAGCUUGUGAUUUUGUGUGCUGAGACAGUUCAUGCAAAUGAAUUCUUAAGAAUCAGCAGCCCUGUUUUCAUGCAAAUAAACCAAGUGAUGAACAAUAAAGGAGAGAAAUGAGGAAAAUUACAAGCAAUAU